UACGUAGGUGGCAAGCGUUGUCCGGAUUUAUUGGGUUUAAAGGGUGCGUAGGCGGCCCUGUAAGUCAGUUGUGAAAUACGGCAGCUUAACUGUCGAGGUGCAAUUGAUACUGCAGGGCUUGAGUACUGAUGAGGUAGGCGGAAUGGACGGUGUAGCGGUGAAAUGCUUAGAGAUCGUCCAGAACACCGAUGGCGAAGGCAGCUUACUAAGGAGUAACUGACGCUGAGGCACGAAAGUGUGGGGAUCAAACAGG
rnacentral:rRNA from 1 species